AAGACGUUUUAAAAAAGGCGGCGUAAGCUGUCGCUAUGGGAUGGCCCCGCGGUGCAUUAGCUAGUUGGUAAGUAAAGGCUUACCAAGGCGAUGAUGCAUAGCCGAGUUGAGAGACUGAUCGGCCACAUUGGGACUGAGACACGGCCCAAACUCCUACGGGAGGCAGCAGUAGGGAAUCUUCCACAAUGGACGCAAGUCUGAUGGAGCAACGCCGCGUGAGUGAAGAAGGUUUUCGGAUCGUAAAGCUCUGUUGUUGGUGAAGAAGGAUAGAGGUAGUAACUGGCCUUUAUUUGACGGUAAUCAACCAGAAAGUCACGGGCUAACUACGUGCCAGCAGCCGCGGUAAAU
rnacentral:rRNA from 1 species